ACAUUGAAGUCUUCAUUC
rnacentral:snRNA from 1 species